rnacentral:rRNA from 1 species
UACGGAGGGUGCAAGCGUUGUCCGGAUUUAUUGGGUUUAAAGGGUGCGUAGGCGGCUUGGUAAGUCCGUGGUGAAAGCCAACAGCUCAACUGUUGAACUGCCAUGGAAACUGGAGAACUUGAGUACAGACGAGGGCGGCGGAAUGGAUGGUGUAGCGGUGAAAUGCAUAGAUACCAUCCAGAACCCCGAUUGCGAAGGCAGCUGCCUAGACUGUAACUGACGCUGAGGCACGAAAGCGUGGGGAGCGAACAGG